AUUGAACGCUGGCGGAAUGCUUUACACAUGCAAGUCGAGCGGCAGCGCGGCCUUCGGGCUGGCGGCGAGCGGCGAACGGGUGAGUAAUGCAUCGGAACAUGCCCAGUCGUGGGGGAUAACACUUCGAAAGAAGUGCUAAUACCGCAUACGUCCUGAGGGGGAAAGCGGGGGAUCGCAAGACCUCGCGCGAUUGGAGUGGCCGAUGUCAGAUUAGCUAGUUGGUGGGGUAAAGGCCUACCAAGGCGACGAUCUGUAGCUGGUGUGAGAGGAUGAUCAGCCACACUGGGACUGAGACACGGCCCAGACUCCUACGGGAGGCAGCAGUGGGGAAUUUUGGACAAUGGGGGCAACCCUGAUCCAGCCAUUCCGCGUGAGUGAAGAAGGCCUUCGGGUUGUAAAGCUCUUUCGGCAGGAACGAAACGGUGGGCUCUAACAUAGUCCGCUAAUGACGGUACCUGAAGAAGAAGCACCGGCUAACUACGUG
rnacentral:rRNA from 1 species